rnacentral:rRNA from 1 species
GAUGAACGCUGGCGGCGUGCCUAACACAUGCAAGUCGAGCGAACCCUUCGGGGUGAGCGGCGGACGGGUGAGUAACGCGUGGGUAACCUGCCCUAUGCACACGGAUAACGUACCGAAAGGUACGCUAAUACGGGAUAAAGUUGUUGGAUGGCAUCUUCUAACAAUCAAAGCUCCGGCGGUAUAGGAUGGACCCGCGUCGGAUUAGCUAGUUGGUGAGGUAAUGGCUCACCAAGGCGACGAUCAGUAGCCGACCUGAGGGGGUGAUCGGCCACACUGGAACUGAGACACGGUCCAGACUCCUACGGGAGGCAGCAGUGGGGAAUAUUGCACAAUGGGCGAAAGCCUGAUGCAGCAACGCCGCGUGAGCGAUGAAGGUCUUCGGGUCGUAAAGCUCUGUCCUCAAGGAAGAUAAUGACGGUACUUGAGGAGGAAGCCCCGGCUAACUACGUGCCAGCAGCCGCCGUAA